AGGACGAACGCUGGCGGCGUGCCUAAUACAUGCAAGUCGAACGGUCUUUCUAUGGAAGCUUGCUUCCACUGAGAAGAUAGUGGCGAACGGGUGAGUAACACGUGGGUAACCUGCCCAUAAGAGGGGGAUAACAUCCGGAAACGGGUGCUAAUACCGCAUAGUUUUCUUGAUCGCAUGAUUGAGAAAGGAAAGACGGCCUUUGUGCUGUCGCUUAUGGAUGGACCCGUGGCGUAUUAGUUAGUUGGUGAGGUAACGGCUCACCAAGACGAUGAUACGUAGCCGACCUGAGAGGGUGAUCGGCCACAUUGGGACUGAGACACGGCCCAAACUCCUACGGGAGGCAGCAGUAGGGAAUCUUCCGCAAUGGACGAAAGUCUGACGGAGCAACGCCGCGUGAGUGAAGAAAAGGUUUUCGGAUCGUAAAACUCUGUUGUCAGAGAAGAACAAGUUGGAGAGUAACUGCUCCAGCCUUGACGGUAUCUGACCAGAAAGCCACGGCUAACUACGUGCCAGCAGCCGC
rnacentral:rRNA from 1 species